UGCCAGAUAAAAGGUCUGUGUGGCUGCUGGUCCUUCGCUUACGGCCAUACCACCCUGAACACGCCCGAUCUCGUCUGAUCUCGGAAGCUAAGCAGGGUCGGGCCUGGUCAGUACUUGGAUGGGAGACCGCCUGGGAAUACCAGUUCCUGGUGACUCAGAGCCAUCUGCACCUUCCCAGCCUGGAUUGAGUAAAAACUUGGCCUCGCUUCUGCUACAACUGGCAGUCAACACUGGCCCUCACCUGGGGCCAGACGACUAUAGUUUUACUGUAAACACCCUCCCUCAUCUGCGAGGAGAAAAGUCCUGAGCCAAACGAUGCGGCUGUUAAUGUCAAUUAAAUAUUUGGAAGUGAGGCCAACACAGACUGCACGGUUUUCUUCACUUCCACUGCUGCAGCAGCUAAAACCACAGACAGAUCAUGGUUAAAAAACAAUGCACAAAAUCGAUGUUAUUGUUACACGCACCAGGACUGGUGUCAGUGUUACAGAUGCUGAUUUUCCUGUAAACAGGAUAGAACAAGUAGGAGUGAUGAGGCAGAACCAAAUCUGAGCUUCACAAAUCCUCCUGGAAUCUCUUCUGAUUUAUUACACAUUUCCACCAUA